UACGUAGGGUGCGAGCGUUAAUCGGAAUUACUGGGCGUAAAGCGUGCGUAGGCGGUUCUCCAAGUCCGUUGUGAAAUCCCCGGGCUUAACCUGGGAACUGCAUUUGUGACUGCACGGCUGGAGUGCGGCAGAGGGGGAUGGAAUUCCGCGUGUAGCAGUGAAAUGCGUAGAUAUGCGGAGGAACACCGAUGGCGAAGGCAAUCCCCUGGGCCUGCACUGACGCUCAUGCACGAAAGCGUGGGGAGCAAACAGG
rnacentral:rRNA from 1 species